rnacentral:lncRNA from 7 species
UCAUUCCAGAAGGCAGCUUUCUUCAGACGAUGUAUUAAAACAGGAUGCCUCUGCCAAGUGUCAGCCAUGAAGCCUCCACAUCUUUAAGAACCUGAGAAAGAACAUCUUUAAGCUAGACAGACGUUAGCCUUGAAACUGAGAGCUCCUACCUGAAAAUUUCCAAGCAAAGGUUCAAAGAGAGAACAUUCAAGAAGCACACAGUUUUGCAGGAAGCUUCAAAAAUGAAUUAAAUUCAUGUGGUGUGCAUUUCGUCAGCUAGUAACUGAGUAGUUUCUCAGAUCAGCAGGUAUAUCAGCAGGAUGAUAACUAUAAAAACUGUAUCUACAUCUGUAUGUGAGGUCCUGUGAUCGUCAUGAGGGCUCUGCCCCAAGAGCAAAAUAUCAAGUUCUUUUUUUCCCAGCAGUUACAGGCAGGACAAAGGUUGGACCAUCAUCAGAGAUAAAAUAAAGAGAGGCAAAAAGAGUUACUUGAAUUUGGCAUUCUGCAGUAAGCGAUACACAAGAAGCGUCAUGUAUUGAGUUCUGCUGUUCAAAGGGAAUUUGAUCUAGGAGUGAAGAGAAAACUUGUAAAACCUCACUGCCUUUCUCCCAGGCCACCAGAUGCAGCUGGCCAAGGAAAUAACUCGUAGGCAGUGAAGUCCUCCAGCUUUAGAGUGAAAAUACCCUGAUACUCAUUGCAUCCCAGACCUUUGCAGCUUGCUGGGUAAGUGGAGCUGGUGGCUGUCCUUAUCUCCUCACUGGGAGAUGAGACGUGGCUCAACCACGGACUGAACAAAUGAGCAGAUAAGGUUAUCCAUGUCCUCACCCACACCUUUCUUUGCUCAGUGAUUUGGACUUCUCCUGUAUCUUCCUCAAGUGUGUUGUUUUCUACUACAUCUUGUGGUAACAAGUGAAAGCUUUAAAAAAGCAUUUCCUU